rnacentral:rRNA from 1 species
AAACAUCGCCAUUAGCUCCACAAGUAUUAAAGGUCUUGCCUGCCCAGUGAAUCUUUUUUUUAACGGCCACAGUAUCCUAACUGUGCAAAGGUAGCGUAAUCACCUGUUCUCUAAAUAAGGACCUGUACGAACGGCUAACUGAGGACCCACCUGUUUCCUUUGGCCUAUUAAUGAACCUGAUCUCUCAGUACAAAAGCCGAGAUCUAUACAUAAGACGAGAAGACCCUAUGGAGCUUAAAAUAAUCUAUUUAAAACUUAAAUUAGAUACUUUCAGUUGGGGCGACUAAGGAACAAAAAGAAACUUCCACACCACUAGACUAACUCUCUUGCACAGGUAGACAUACCACCGCACACUACUCUUUGACCCAGUAAAACUGAUCUGCGAACCAAGUUACCCUAGGGAUAACAGCGCCAUCCUCCUCUAGAGCCCAUAUCGCCAGGAGGGCUUACGACCUCGAUGUUGGAUCAGGACUUCCAAGUGGUGUAGCCGCUACUAAUGGUUCGUUUGUUCAACGAUUAAAGUCCUACGUGAU